AUAUGAAAAAGGCAAACUAUUUGAAAAGAUAGGACGCAAAGCUUAGGGUCUAAGGUAGCAAUACUAUGAUCGCCUGGUUACCAAU
rnacentral:ncRNA from 1 species